UUAUUUAUUAUUAUAAACAAGACCGGGGAAAAAAAGGCUUAUUAAAGCGUAACCACGGGGGCGAAUGGGGACAAAAAUGCCUGCAGGUUGCAAAUUAAUACAGGGACAAUGUAAAUUCGAGCAAAAAAGGAGGCACAAAAAGAAGGGGUUCAGAUGUACAACAUACCCAAGCCGUCAUACGAGCUUGGUUAUAUUGUACAGGAAAGAGGUCGUCAAAGUUGAGGAAUAAUGCGCAUCGAGAAUGGUCUCAGUAGAAGCCUUAGAAGUUUUGAAUAUAUGCAAGGAAAUAUGAUGACAUGGAACGUGGAAUGUGCAGGCCAGAAGCGAUGAUAGCUUCCCGAGAAAUAUUUUGAUAGAUACCAUCAGCAGCAAUUUCACAAUCAAGAGUAAACGUGGUCAUUAAGAUACUUCUGGAAUUUUCGGUCAUCUAUGUAUUCUAAGAAGGUAUUCGACUUCUAGAAAUUGUUGAAAAGAGGUAAACCUUUGGUCAACCAGGUAACCUUGAUGGGUCAUGCUUGUUUUGUAUAUAUGGUUCCUGUAGACCUUUUUGUGGGACGUAGUUCAUAAGAAUAACCUGUGGGGUAUGCUGAUUACCUGGUGAGCAGAAAUGCAAGAAUGUCAAAAUUGCGAAUUGGUUGAAAGUUCUUUGUUUUGUUGUACCUAUAAUAAUGGUUAUUAUUUUAAAUUUUUUAAUGUAUAAAAUUUGAAUUUUUAAUUAAAUAUUUUAAGAUAAUUUCAUAAUAAAAUAAAUUUUAAUAGAUUAAAAAUAUU